ACCAGCAUCCCAGCAUCAAAACAUACCUACCAGCAUAUGCUGGGGUUUUCUUUACCAGGGUACAACGCUGCAAAAUCCGUUUGUCCUUCAUGUCAGACACAACGCGAGCGCUUGAAGUACAUCUGUACGUCAGAAAUAUACCGGUGCAUUACUUUACUGUAAGCAUCCACUGUAGAUUGUAUAUUUAAUGGGUUCUAUAUUGUCUUCUUUUGUCGAGUCGCGCUGCGCCGCGCCGCUCGUGUCCGAGGAAGACGCUGAAGCAGCGGGGCGGUCACUGACGCGGUGUUUGCCCGGGGAUGAACCCGCGAGAGCGGAAGAGUUCCGGAGAACAGCUACGCUGUGUGUCCAUGCAAUUUGCGAGCGAUUAAGACCAGCAAGGAAGGCAACUCCAAUGAAGCGUCAAGAAAGUAUGCCAACCACCCUGAGACUGCCAGUUCAUGGUUCAAGAAAACAGCUGUGGUUUUGAGAUGUUUGUAUUCUAUGUGGGGUUUGCCUUUUAAAAGUGUGCCAUUUCUUCUACUUGUUUUUCAGAGAAGACAUUUCUGUCACUAACAAAGUGGAUGGUGAGCAAAGGUGGUGGCCACGUUUUGGAGCAGACCUGGGUUUUGCAGAUGUCUGUGUAUUCUUUGGCUGCGUGUCUUUUUCUCCAUUGUUUCUGUUGCCUAUAGAUUCUUUGUGAGGAUAAAUCCAGAGGAUACAACAUAAUGCACAGCAAAACGUCCUAAGACAGGGGAAAUGGUGAAGAUGCACUGUUCCAGCAGUUUAAGACUGUAUUUUUAAGUGUUAUACAUGCAUUGUUUUAAAUAAAGUGUUAGAUAUUUUGUGA